rnacentral:snRNA from 13 species
GUGCCUCAAACUAAUGAGUAAGGAAAACCAAUUCGCCUUGCUAAUCGCUCGGCAGUUUGGCUUCUAAAAGGCAAUGGAAUGCCGUUGGAUGUUGGGAGGGGAGACUCUCCCUUCCCCUCGUCCACGGCAUUUCUU